rnacentral:rRNA from 1 species
GACAGAGGCCUCGAGCGUUAGGCGGAAUCACUGGGCUUAAAGCGUGUGUAGGCGGAAGAGUAAGUACCUUGUGAAAUCCCACGGCUCACCCGUGGAACCGCUGAGUAUACUGCUCUUCUUGGGCCACUCAGGGGCGACUGGAACAAGCGGUGGAGCGGUGAAAUGCGUAGAUAUCGCUUGGAACGCCGAAGGUGAAAACAGGUCGCUGGGAGUGCGCCGACGCUGAGACACGAAAGCCAGGGGAGCAAACGGG